CUGGCUAACAACCAACUGAAUCACUUAAGUGCCCCCAGAAAGGACUUUUAAAAGAUACAGAUUAUACUAAGGGCCAUGUUCUCCGUCUGUGAAUGCUUUUUUCUCCUCCUAAAAAAAAUCCUGUGCCAUUUUAUCUGAGAUGAUGUCUUAUUCUUUGUUUACGACUUUGGAAAUUAUUAUACCAAGAGGCAUGAAGGAGACAACUUGAGCAAAUACAAAUGGAGAAAACAGACUACGCCACCCCAAGCAAGGAAACUGAUACUACCCUGAUGCAGGCCCCUAUCAACUUAUACUUGGAGUGGAUUAGGAUGACUUGGUCAUAUAUCCAUAUGCAGCAGGGAAAGAAACAAUUAGGAAGAAGGUAAAGAUUAAAGGAGGAGGAUGACAACAAGGACAAACUACUGGAGAAGAUAAGAGGAACUGGAAUCAAGGAUUCAUGUAGAGCUAUUGACCCUGGUGAGGAGAAAGACCAUCUCUUUAUCAGUGUGAAUUUUAGAUUUACUCCACCCUGCUUAGUCUUUAGAAUUCUAGCAACCAGGAAUGUAUACACGCCCACUUAAGAAUUAAGUGUGGGGGAGGAAGGCCUAUGACCUUCAUGUGCUAGCAAGUGACAAAUCAGAAACAACUGACUGACGCCCUGGGCUGCCCUAAGCCAAGUUUAAGCCACCAUUGGUACAUGUAAGAUACAGGAAGUGAUGUAAAGAACUGCUGUUAUAUUUCACGUCACUUCCUAUGGGACUCGCUCUCUUGGUGGUGUUGGGAGCUUUAGGAGGCAUUUGAAGAGCUUGUGGCUUUGGAGGACUUUGAUGGUGGAGUUUACCAGGAGG
rnacentral:lncRNA from 1 species